rnacentral:rRNA from 1 species
AUUACCGAGUGCGGGCCCCUCGGGGCCCAACCUCCCACCCGUGUUGCCCGAACCUAUGUUGCCUCGGCGGGCCCCGCGCCCGCCGACGGGCCCCCUGAACGCUGUCUGAAGUUGCAGUCUGAGACCUAUAACGAAAUUAGUUAAAACUUUCAACAACGGAUCUCUUGGUUCCGGCAUCGAUGAAGAACGCAGCGAAAUGCGAUAACUAAUGUGAAUUGCAGAAUUCAGUGAAUCAUCGAGUCUUUGAACGCACAUUGCGCCCUCUGGUAUUCCGGAGGGCAUGCCUGUCCGAGCGUCAUUGCUGCCCUCAAGCCCGGCUUGUGUGUUGGGCCCCGUCCCCCCCGCCGGGGGGACGGGCCCGAAAGGCAGCGGCGGCACCGCGUCCGGUCCUCGAGCGUAUGGGGCUUCGUCACCCGCUCUAGUAGGCCCGGCCGGCGCCAGCCGACCCCCAACCUUUAAUUAUCUCAGGUUGACCUCGGAUCAGGUAAGGAUACCCGCUGAA